rnacentral:rRNA from 1 species
UGGGGAAUAUUGGACAAUGGGCGCAAGCCUGAUCCAGCCAUGCCGCGUGAGUGAUGAAGGCCCUAGGGUUGUAAAGCUCUUUCACCGGUGAAGAUAAUGACGGUAACCGGAGAAGAAGCCCCGGCUAACUUCGUGCCAGCAGCCGCGGUAAUACGAAGGGGGCUAGCGUUGUUCGGAUUUACUGGGCGUAAAGCGCACGUAGGCGGACUUUUAAGUCAGGGGUGAAAUCCCGGGGCUCAACCCCGGAACUGCCUUUGAUACUAGAAGUCUUGAGUAUGGUAGAGGUGAGUGGAAUUCCGAGUGUAGAGGUGAAAUUCGUAGAUAUUCGGAGGAACACCAGUGGCGAAGGCGGCUCACUGGACCAUUACUGACGCUGAGGUGCGAAAGCGUGGGGAGCAAACAGG